UGUUGUCGCUGUCCAUACCCAUAAGCGGGGGAGUGAGAGGUGCAUGAAAUGGAGAAAAAUGGCGGAUCAUGUGCAGGGCCUUGCCCAGCUGGAGAUCCUGUGUAAGCAGCUGUACGAGACCACCGACACCGCCGUCCGACACCAGGCAGAGAAAGCCCUGGUGGAGUUCACCAACAGCCCCGACUGUCUCAGCAAGUGUCAGCUACUGCUGGAGAGAGGCAGCUCAUCAUAUUCUCAGCUGCUCGCAGCGACAUGUUUAUCUAAACUGGUUUCUCGAACCAGCAACCCUCUUCCACUCGAACAGCGCAUCGACAUCCGGAACUAUGUUCUGAAUUAUCUGGCCACGCGGCCGAAGUUAGCAGCGUUUGUGACGCAGGCCUUGAUCCAGCUGUACGCGCGGAUCACGAAGCUCGGCUGGUUCGACUGUCAGAAAGACGACUACGUCUUCAGGAACGUCAUCGUAGACGUGACGCGCUUCCUGCAGGACAGCGUUGAGCACUGCAUCAUCGGCGUCACCAUCCUGUCCCAGCUGACCAAUGAGAUCAAUCAGGCGGACACGACGCAUCCUCUGACCAAACACAGGAAGAUAGCGUCAUCAUUCAGAGACUCGUCGCUCUUUGACAUUUUCACGCUUUCCUGUAACCUCCUCAAACAGGCGUCGGGGAAGAACCUGAACCUGAACGAUGAGUCUCAGCAUGGUCUGCUCAUGCAGCUGCUCAAACUGAGCUACAACUGUCUGAACUACGACUUUAUAGGAACUUCCACAGACGAGUCGUCGGACGACCUCUGCACCGUACAGAUCCCCACAUCAUGGAGAUCAGCGUUUCUUGAUUCCUCCACCCUGCAGCUUUUUUUCAAUUUAUAUCAUUCCAUCCCUCCGUCCCUGUCCCCUUUGGUGUUGUCAUGUUUAGUCCAGAUAGCCUCGGUCAGGCGGUCUCUCUUCAACAACGCAGAGCGAGCCAAGUUCCUAUCACACUUAGUGGAUGGAGUGAAGAGGAUACUGGCAAACCCACAGUGUUUGCCGGAUCCGAAUAACUACCAUGAGUUCUGUCGUCUGCUGGCGAGGCUGAAGAGUAACUACCAGCUGGGGGAGCUGGUCAAAGUAGAAAACUACCCAGAAGUUAUUCGACUCAUUGCAAACUUCACCGUCACCAGUCUCCAGCACUGGGAGUUUGCCCCCAACAGUGUUCACUACCUGCUGAGUCUGUGGCAGCGCCUGGCAGCGUCGGUCCCCUACGUCAAAGCUACAGAGCCUCACCUGCUGGAGACGUACACACCUGAGGUCACCAAGGCCUACAUCACAUCCCGACUCGAGUCGGUCCACGUCAUCCUCAGAGAUGGUUUGGAAGACCCUCUGGAUGACGCCGGCCUUGUUCAGCAACAGUUGGACCAGUUAUCCACCAUCGGGAGGUGUGAGUAUGAGAAGACGUGUGCUCUGCUGGUCCAACUGUUCGACCAGGCAGCUCAGACGUACCAAGAGCUGCUGCAGUCCACAAACUCGAGCGCUGCCGACAUCACUGUGCAGGAGGGUACGGGUAAAGAGCUAUACAGUCGGUUGACAUGGUUGGUGUACAUAAUCGGGGCAGUCAUCGGAGGACGGGUGUCGUUUGCGAGUACAGACGAGCAGGACGCCAUGGACGGAGAGUUAGUCUGUCGAGUGCUCCAGCUGAUGAAUCUGACCGACUCUCGGCUCGCUCAGGCUGGAAACGAGCGGCUGGAGCUGGCCAUGCUCAGCUUCUUUGAACAAUUCAGAAAGAUCUACAUCGGCGACCAGGUGCAGAAAUCAUCAAAGCUUUACAGACGACUAUCAGAAGUUCUGGGCUUGAACGACGAGACGAUGGUGCUCAGUGUCUUUAUAGGGAAAAUCAUCACAAACUUGAAGUACUGGGGCCAGUGUGAACCAAUCACCUCCAAGACACUCCAACUACUGAACGACCUCUCAUUAGGGUACAGCAGCGUGAGGAAGCUGGUGAAGCUCAGUGCCGUGCAGUUCAUGUUAAAUAAUCACACAAGCGAGCACUUCUCCUUCCUGGGAGUGAACAACCAGUCCAACCUGAGCGACAUGAGGUGUCGGACCACCUUCUACACUGCACUGGGGCGCCUACUGAUGGUCGAUCUGGGCGAGGACGAGGACCAGUUUGAACAGUUCAUGCUUCCUCUGACGGCCGCCUUUGAAGCUGUGGCUCAGAUGCUGAGUACAAACACCUUCAACGAGCAGGAGGCGAAGAGGACUUUGGUGGGUCUGGUCAGAGAUCUUCGAGGGAUCGCGUUCGCCUUCAACGCCAAGACGAGCUUCAUGAUGCUCUUUGACUGGAUGUAUCCCGCCUACAUGCCCAUUCUGCAGAGAGCCAUCGAGCUGUGGUACCACGACCCAGCAUGCACCACUCCUGUCCUCAAACUGAUGGCUGAGCUGGUUCACAACAGAUCUCAAAGGUUACAGUUCGACGUGUCGUCACCAAACGGCAUCCUGCUGUUCAGAGAAACCAGCAAGAUGAUCACGACAUACGGGAAUCGCAUCCUGACACUGGGCGAGGUCCCGAAGGAUCAGGUGUACGGGGUGAAGCUGAAGGGGGUCAGCGUGUGUUUCGCCAUGCUGAAGGCCGUGCUCAGCGGGAACUACGUCAACUUCGGGGUCUUCCGUCUGUACGGCGACGACGCUCUGGAUAACGCCUUACAGACCUUCAUCAAGCUGCUGCUGUCCAUCCCUCACAGCGACCUGCUCGACUAUCCGAAGCUCAGCCAGUCGUUCUACUCUCUGCUGGAGGUUCUGACUCAGGACCACAUGAACUUCAUUGCCAGUCUGGAGCCGCACGUCGUCAUGUACAUCCUGUCGUCGAUAUCAGAGGGGCUCACGGCGCUCGAUACGAUGGUGUGCACGGGCUGCUGCUCCAGUCUAGACCACAUCGUCACGUACCUCUUCAAACAGCUCUCACGCUCCACCAAGAAACGACCCACGCCCAUGGCAACGGACGAUCGCUUCCUGCACAUCAUGCAGCAGCACCCCGAGAUGAUCCAGCAGAUGUUGUCCACGGUGUUGAACAUCAUCAUCUUCGAGGACUGCAGGAAUCAGUGGUCCAUGUCUCGACCUCUGCUCGGCCUCAUCCUGCUCAACGAGAAGUAUUUUGCUGACCUGAGGAACAGCAUCGUGAACAGCCAGCCGCCAGAGAAGCAGCAAGCCAUGCACUUAUGUUUCGAGAACCUGAUGGAGGGAAUCGAGAGAAAUCUACUAACAAAAAACCGAGACAGGUUCACUCAGAACCUGUCUGUGUUCAGGCGGGAGGUCAACGACAGCAUGAAGAACUCGACGUACGGCGUCAACAGCAACGACAUGAUGAGCUGACAUUCCACACAGACGAGUCUUACCCAGCCACAGACAGAGCUCUCCCCCCACCUCUCUCCCCCACAGCCUCCCUCCCUCCCCCCUCUCUGCAUCAGCCUCCCUCUCCCCCCUCCCUCCCUGGGCCAGGAUGCCUGGGGAUCAUCUCCCGCCCCUCCCCCCAACACGACGUACCCUCCCUCCUUUUUGAUAUAAACAUAUAUAAAUAUAUACAGAUCUAUUUUAACGCGAUGAUGGUCUGACUCGUCCAGCAGAGGAGGGGUCAGGAGGGCCGAGUUUGGGCGUGUGAUUGGGAGGGAAGGGGGGGGGGGGGGGGGGGUCGCAUGUUUAAGCACUCUAAAUCACUCACAGAGGAAGAAGAGAGUGCUGCGGAGGCAAACGAGGGCGAGGAAGGGGAUGAACGCCGGUAAUCGUAGUAAUCCGCUUCUGCCUGCCUUGUAUAGAAAAACACACAAAAACCAAGUGUACAUUUCUUUUCGUAACAUUUUGAACAAUGUUUAUAAUGAUCGAAUUUAAAAACACAAAGAAGAGUUGAGGAAAAACACAAAAAAAAAUAAACAAAAAAUGGUGUGAUUGAGCUUUUUACAGUGUAGUGAGUUAGUGCAACUGUUUGUCUGCGUGGGGAGCGAGAGAGGAGGGAGGGAGGGAAAACGGGUGACGUGAGGGUGGGGGAGAGAGUUGGGGGGGGGGGCCACAGGAGCACUUAGGCUGCAGAGAGGUACACACACUAACAGGACGAGAGAGUCAGAGCAUCCAUGUUGUACAUUUUUUUACUCAAAGUCUCUGGAUGAGGUGUUGUAAAUUACCACGCCCCCUGAAGGCAGCAGGCCGGACAGACAAUAAAGGGACAACUCAGCUGUUUUUUUUUAACCAUUUUAUACUAAAUAAGUUCCCCCCGGAUUCCGGCCCACAGCCCUGCAAGAGAGUGAGUUCUGUUUCCGGUUCCUAUUUGUCACCUUUUAGAAGCUGUAACGUCUGAACAGACAGCUUGUUUACCUGCUGCAGGUGAACAGCAGGUGAACAGACAACUUGUUUACCUGCUGCAGGUGAACAGACAACUUGUUUACCUGCUGCUCAUGGACUGAACACAUUCAGACACUUCUCACACGUAUAAUAAUUAUGUAACAUAAACAAAGUAAUGAAUCUUGUAUCAUGAUCUCCCUCUCUCACCGGUGCAGGAUUAUGUUUUGGUUUUGGACUUCAGAGCUCCUUCCUGUUUUAAGCGUUAUUCAAACAUUCCUCUGAAAGCAGAAAUCGCUCUUGCAUACAGAAUGACACUAAAAAGCGGAUAAAUGACAGAAACCAGGAAAUUCUCAAGUCGUGUGUUUAUAUUUUCGAUUUAGAUGCAGCUCCUGAUCCUCUCAGGCAGCUUGGACUCGGGUAUGAGGUCAAUAAAAAUCAGCUGACUGUCCCUUUAAAAUCGUCCCGCUCUGCUCUGCCUUUUCCCCUCGCCUCACACACGAGGCGGCCGCGUCCCAUCUUUGCGUGUUUGUCGUCCCCCCCCCCCCCCCCUGCACGCGCUGAUCGAUGUGUAAACAUGAUGGUCACGACUCGGUUUUCCCCCCUCUGGUAGGCUGGCUGCAGUCUCACCAUUUUGUUUACAAUCUCGAUUCCUCGGACCAGGUUUUUGGGACUGCCCCCCCCCCCCCUCCUCCCCCUCCUUUUUUUUUAGGUCCUGCAGUGGAGUCUGUUUGGUGUGUGUGUUGUC